AUUUUGCAUCACCGGCAAUUUCAUGGAAUUUGCUAAUCGAAAGAAGAUCAGUCAGCAAUCGUGGAACCGGUUUGUGAUCAAUGAAGUCUUCACAGCGAACUAUUUGCUAAUGAUUGUGGCGAAAGUUCUGUGUUGAUGGAGAUAUCGAAAGUGCGGCACGAAUAGUUAAUUAGUCCUCGUUGCGAUUACAAUACAUCGUACGUCAAUACAAUAUAAUUGCUGUACAG